rnacentral:rRNA from 1 species
AACGAACGCUGGCGGCAGGCUUAACACAUGCAAGUCGAGCGCCCCGCAAGGGGAGCGGCAGUCGGGUGAGUAACGCGUGGGAACGUACCUUUUGGUUCGGAACAACUCCGGGAAACUGGAGCUAAUACCGGAUAAGCCCUAACGGGGAAAGAUUUAUCGCCGAAAGAUCGGCCCGCGUCUGAUUAGCUAGUUGGUGAGGUAAGGGCUCAUCAAGGCGACAAUCAGUAGCUGGUCUGAGAGGAUAAUCAGCCACACUUGGACUGAGACACGGCCCAGACUCCUACAGGAGGCAGCAGUGGGGAAUAGUGGACAAUGGGCGGAAGCCUGAUCCACCCAUGCCGCGUGAGUGAUGAAGGCGUUAGGGUAGUAAAGCUCUUUUGUCCGGGAAGAUAAUGACUGUACCGGAAGAAUAAGCCCCGGCUAACUUCGUG